rnacentral:rRNA from 1 species
ACGAACGCUGGCGGCGUGCCUAACACAUGCAAGUCGAACGGGGCCGGGGGCAACUCCGGUUCAGUGGCGAACGGGUGCGUAACACGUGAGGAAGUUGUCCAUCGGUGGGGGAUAGCCGGCCCAACGGCCGGGUAAUACCGCGUACGACCUUUCGGCGGCAUCGUCGGGAGGUGAAAGCAGCAAUGCGCCGAUGGAGGCCCUCGCGGCCUAUCAGCUAGUUGGUGAGGUAAUGGCUCACCAAGGCGACGACGGGUAGCUGGUCUGAGAGGAUGGCCAGCCACAUUGGGACUGAGACACGGCCCAGACUCCUACGGGAGGCAGCAGUGGGGAAUCUUGCGCAAUGGGCGAAAGCCUGACGCAGCGACGCCGCGUGUGGGAUGACGGCCUUCGGGUUGUAAAACACUGUCGGGAGGGACGAAGCUCUGACGGUACCUCCAAAGGAAGCACCGGCUAACUCUGUGCCAGCAGCCGCGGUAAUACAGAGGGUGCGAGCGUUGUCCGGAAUCACUGGGCGUAAAGGGCGCGUAGGCGGCCCGGUAAGUAGGGGGUGAAAUCCUGUGGCUCAACUGCAGGGCUGCCUCCUAAACUGGCGGGCUAGAGCACGGUAGAGGCAGAUGGAAUUCCCGGUGUAGCGGUGGAAUGCGUAGAGAUCGGGAAGAACAUCCAGUGGCGUAAGGCAGGUUAGCUGGGCCUGUUGCUGACAGCUGAGGCAGCGAAAGCGUGGGGAGCGAACCGGAUUAGAUACCCUGGUAGUCCACGCCGUAAACGAUGGAGACUACUUGAGGUCGACCCUUCAGGGAGCGAGCGAACCGUUAUCCCGCUGUGGAGUACGGUCGCAAGACUAAAACAUAAAGGAAUUGACGGGGACCCGCACAAGCGGUGGAUCAUGUUCUUUAAUUCGAUGAUAAACGAAGAACCUUACCAGGGCUUGACAUCCAGGGAAGCACUACGAAAGUAGAGUGUGCCUUUUGGAACCCUGUGACAGAUGAUGCAUGGCCGUCGUCAGCUCGUGUCGUGAGAUGUUUGGUUAAGUCCAUCAACGAGCGCAACCCUUGUGAUUAGUUGGAUUUUUCUAAUCAGACUGCCCCGGUAACGGGGAGGAAGGAGGGGAUGACGUCAGGUCAGUAUUUCUCUUACGUCCUGGGCUAGAAACGUGAUACAAUGGCAGGUACAAUGCGCAGCGAAGCCGCGAGGUGAAGCAAAUCGCAUCAAAGCUUGUCCCAGUUCGGAUAGGAGGCUGAAACUCGCCUCCUUGAAGUCGGAAUCGCUAGUAAUCGCAGGUCAGCAAACUGCGGUGAAUACGUUCCCGGGUCUUGUACACACCGCCCGUCAAACCAUGAAAGUGACCAACACCCGAAGUCCGAUUCGUCGGCCUAAGGUGGGGGGCAUGAUUGGGGUUAAGUCGUAACAAGGUAA